rnacentral:piRNA from 1 species
UAAUUUUGGUCAAAAGGAAAAGC